AACCUAGCACACCUGCGGUGUGUACCUGCGGAGGGAUCAUUACAGAGUUGCAAAACUCCCUAAACCAUUGUGAACGUUACCUAAACCGUUGCUUCGGCGGGCGGCCCGGGUCCUUCCCGGCGCCCCUCGGCCCUCGCGGGCGCCCGCCGGAGGUAAACCAAACUAUUGCAUUGUAUGGCCUCUCUGAGUCUUCUGUACUGAAUAAGUCAAAACUUUUAGCAACGGAUCUCAGAUCGGAAG
rnacentral:misc_RNA from 1 species